AGGGAAUAUUGGACAAUGAGCGAAAGCUUGAUCCAGCCAUGCCGCGUGUGCGAUGACGGCCUUCGGGUUGUAAAGCACUUUAGGUAACGAGGAAAAGUUAGGUGUUAAUACCAUCUAACCUUGACGUUAAUUACAGAAUAAGCACCGGCUAAAUCCGUGCCAGCAGCCGCGGUAAUACGGAUGGUGCAAGCGUUAAUCGGAAUUACUGGGCGUAAAGCGCGCGUAGGUGGCAUAUUAAGUUAGAUGUGAAAUCCCGAGGCUUAACCUCGGAACUGCAUCUAAAACUAAUAAGCUAGAGUACUAGAGAGGAAAGUAGAAUUCUUAGUGUAGCGGUGGAAUGCGUAGAUAUU
rnacentral:rRNA from 1 species